GGCGGUGUAGCUCAGCGGCUAGAGCACACGGUUCAUACCCGUGGAGUCACUGGUUCGAAUCCAGUCACCGCUACCA
rnacentral:tRNA from 1 species